rnacentral:lncRNA from 1 species
UUUACCUCAAGGAUGUAAGUAAUAAUGUACAUAAUAAUGAUAGUAAUAUCAAUAUUAGCUAUGAUUUACUGAGCUUACUCUUUUGUCAACGUUGUGCUAAAUUUUAUUUAUGUCUUUAUUGAACAAAAAGUUAUUGAUUCAUUUUUGUAUAUUAGAGAUCAAACAAGAUAAUUAAGACUUCAAAAUUGAUCAGAAAAAUCUUUCUAUUUGUAGUUCAGGGGAUUGAACCCAGGACCACACACUUGCUAUAUUGCGUAUGCAUGUGCUUUUGUGGACAGAAUGUCCAGGUUGCAGAAACCAGAAGACUCUGAGUAAGUUGUGUUUAUGUAAUAAUUUCUAAAAAUGGUACAAAAUGGGAGCAUUGAAAGAUGUUGUUUUCUAGGCUGGCAAAUAGAGUCAAGUCUUAGUUCAUAAAGUUAUAGAUAGGUCAAGGCAACUAGUUAUCUAUGGACCUUCUGUACAUAAUCACAUAUUAUGUGGGCCUCAUUUAUUUCAAAUUUAUAUAGGUGCUUUGGUUGUGCACAAAAGAAGCAUGAAUAAAUCAUCUGAGUUUAAGUUAUUCAGUUAUUACAAUCAAUUUCCACAUGGAGAAACUUUUUUAUUUCCUUUUUAACUUUCAUUACACAUAAUUAGCAACCAUAACAUUCAUUGUAGGGAAUUGGUACAUGCACAUUACACAUUUCAAUUCUUGUUUCCUCUUUCCCUCCACUCCCUCUUUCAGGUAAAAUAAAAAUUUUAAUGUAAAAAUGUUUGCCAUUAUUUGGUAGUUUAAUUUUGAUUUAUUUUUACUAUAUCUCAGGCUUAAAAAAAGGAAUUGCCCUUAUUUGAGUCAUUUUGGACCAAGAAAAAUAGGAAAAAACAAUUGUAAAACCAAGCCAGGACUCAAAAUUUCUUACUGAGAUGGAAUAAAUUGUUUCCAUGUACACUUCUUUGGCUAAAGCUUAAUCACAUAGGAAAAGAAGCAAGCCAGAACAGGUAUAUAAUUCUGCUUCAGUGAAUGGUAGAGGA